CUACCGGGGUUUCUAAUCCUGUUUGCUCCCCACGCUUUCAUGCCUCAGUGUCAGUUACAGUCCAGUAAGUCGCCUUCGCCACUGGUGUUCUUCCUAAUCUCUACGCAUUUCACCGCUACACUAGGAAUUCCACUUACCUCUCCUGCACUCUAGAUAUCCAGUUUGGAAUGCAGCACCCAAGUUGAGCCCGGGUAUUUCACAUCCCACUUAAAUAUCCACCUACGCAUCCUUUACGCCCAGUAAAUCCGGACAACGCUUGCCACCUACGUAUUACCGCGGCUGCUGGCAC
rnacentral:rRNA from 1 species